CAUGGAUGGAGAGUAUGAGGAGACCAGGAGAUCACAAAACUCAAAUUUUCCAAAUCUCAUGAUGAAUGUUAUCGACAAUUUCCUGAAUGACGGUGACAACAGCAUGAGAGAGCUAGCCGACCUUCUGAGUGCAAGGAGCGUGAAUUAUACUAAAGUCACUACUGCUGCUCAUCUGAUCAAAGGAGGUGGCAGCAGCCUUGGUGGCUGCCGGGUUGUUGCAGCAGCUCGUGCUCUUAUAACUGCCAGCCUUAAUCGGGACAAGCAAAG